CGGGACGGGUGAGUAAUGUCUGGGAAACUGACUGAUGGAGGGGGGUAACUACUGGAAACGGUAGCUAAUACCGCAUAACGUCGCAAGACCAAAGAGGGGGACCUUCGGGCCUCUUGCCAUCGGAUGUGCCCAGAUGGGAUUAGCUAGUAGGUGGGGUAACGGCUCACCUAGGCGACGAUCCCUAGCUGGUCUGAGAGGAUGACCAGCCACACUGGAACUGAGACACGGUCCAG
rnacentral:rRNA from 1 species